GAUGAACGCUGGCGGCGUGCCUAAUACAUGCAAGUCGAGCGAACAGACUACUAGCUUGCUCCUCUGUCGUUUGCCGCGGACGGGUGAGUAACACGUGGAUACCCUCCCUCUCUUCCUGGUAUACCUUCGGGACUCCGGCGCUUAUCCCGGAUGACAUAUUGAACCGCAUGGUUCAAUAGUGAAAGUCGGUUUUGCUGUCACUUAUAGACUGAUCCGUGCCGCAUUAGCUAGUUGGUAAGGUAACGGCUUACCAAGGCACCGAUGCGUAGCCGACCUGGGCGGGUGAACGCGCACACAGGAGGUGAGACACGGUCCAGACUCCGAGGGGAGGCAGAGGUAGGGAAGCGUGCGCGAAGGGCGAAAGCCUGACGGAGCAGCGCCGCGUGAGUGAUGAGGGUCUGCGGAGCGUAAAACUCUGUUAGUAGGGAAGAACAAAUGUGUAAGUAACGAUGCACGUCGUGACGGUACCUAAUCAGAAAGCCACGGCUAACUACGUG
rnacentral:rRNA from 1 species